UAUCAUGUUGAAUAGGUUUUCAGCAAUGCAUUCUUUUGGUUUUCUUACUAAGUUGUCUCUGUUUUUCAGAUUAAACUUCUUCAGGAACCCUUGAGAGCUUUUGUUCAAGAAGUUAUAAUAAAUGAAAUCAAUUCAUAUCUCAAAAUUGGAAAAAUCCCAAUACUUAGGAUCCCAGGACUGACGUACACAGCUGUCGAUUGCCGCCCUGCACAGCGCUGUAUUGUGUGCCAUAACUACCACAAGAAAAAGAAAAACUGACGUACGGGAUGAGUUGCUUGCUGUUGCAUCUCUUACACUGAACAGUAAAGACAGAGACCGUCAUGAGUGAAGAUAUUUUAACUCAUAUAAUUCUUUAUUCUAAAACUUUGAUUACUUUUUUUAUUUUAAUGGAGGAAAAACUCCUACAUCUGCUUUAGGAUUGCAGAUGAAGUACAGAGGAUCCAAACUAUCUCCUUGUUAAAAAUGCAUUCUACUAGAAGUACUAUUUUCCAAAAUCAAUGAUGUGUUUGGUUAUAUCCUUCAAGGAAAGGUUUGGGACAUUGGUUACUGUUUUGCUUU
rnacentral:lncRNA from 1 species